rnacentral:lncRNA from 1 species
UUUAGCUUAAUUUAGCUUAGCAUAGUUUUUCUUCUUUUUCUAGUUCACACUUCACUGUUCUAUUGUUGCUGCAUCAUUUGAUAUCAAAAUUGUUACUCUUGAACUGUGAAUAAUUGCUUCCGAUAUGAAAAACUUGGCUGACGUUGUUGAGAGAUUGUCGAUGGAAAUCGGUAAUAUCACAUGCGUCAAAAUCAUAUGGAAGAGAAUCGAGACAAGGCCUUCAACGAGCUGAGAGAAGCAGUAUAAGCUUCUCAAAAACAGCAGGAUAAGGGCAAGAAUUUACCUGAGUAAGAUCUGGGAGUUGAGCUUUAUUCACCAACAAUUGGGCCCUUUGGAAGGAGUUGGAGUGCAGAGAAGGGGAGGCUCUUCGAACCCUUCUUCUUCUCAACUAGUAAAAUAGCAUGGGGUUAUUGGACCUGGAAUAGUACAAUCUCCAUCAAUUGUUGUUUGAGUCAACAUUGGAGGCAUACCAGUUCAACAGAAUCAACUUAUGCCGGCUCUUGGAGGUUACAAUGGAGAUGCUGUCCCAGGAGGUUCUCAUGGUAUUUCUCACCCUAACACUCUAUCCAGAUUAGGUAAGUUAGAAUUCCCUCAUUUUGAUGGUAAGGAUCUCAGAUGUUGGCUUUACAAAAUUGAACAGUUUUUUUCCUUAGAAGAAAUCCCUCAUGUUCAGAAGAUCAAAG